rnacentral:lncRNA from 1 species
UCUGCACCUUGCCGCCGCCGCAACAGCCAGAUCCAACACACCGCCCGCCCGCCCUCAACAUCCAAAAUCCAAGAUGAGAUCCAUCUUCGAGAGAGCAGCAACGGGAGCCGGGAUCUCGCCAGGUUGAGGCGUCUCCUUCUUGGAUCUUGACUAGAAAGCUUCAGCCCACAACACCGCGUGAUCGAUACCUAUCCCCAGCAGCAUCAACGGCGACCUUCGUUCGACGAUGGCGCCGACGUUGGCUACUAAUUAGCGGCCCUGCUUGCAUUGCAUGGUUCGCUAGUCCGUCCUUCCCAACUCAGGUGAAUUCUGCAUCCAUGCUUGAACGUGCUCUGCUUCGCAUCUUUGUCAUACUACC